GCAAGUCGAACGCGAAAGACCCAGCAAUGGGUUGGUAGCGUGGCAAACGGGUGAGUAACGCGUGGGCGACCUACCUCCGAGUGGGGGAUAACCUUCCGAAAGGGAGGCUAAUACCGCAUGACAUCCCAUUUUUGGAUAGAUGGACAUCAAAGCCGGGGAUCGCAAGACCUGGCGCUUGGAGAGGGGCCCGCGUCCGAUUAGCUAGUUGGUGAGGUAACGGCCCACCAAGGCUUCGAUCGGUAUCCGGCCUGAGAGGGCGGACGGACACACUGGAACUGAGACACGGUCCAGACUCCUACGGGAGGCAGCAGUGGGGAAUUGUUCGCAAUGGACGAAAGUCUGACGACGCAACGCCGCGUGGAGGAUGAAGACCUUCGGGUCGUAAACUCCUUUCGACCGAGAUGAAGAGACGCCCAUCUAACACAUGGGCGUAUUGACAGUAUCGAGGGAAGCAGCCCCGGCUAACUCUGUGCCAGCAGCCGCGGUAAUACAGGGGGGGCAAGCGUUGUUCGGAAUUACUGGGCGUAAAGGGUUCGUAGGUGGCUUGCUAAGUCACACGUGAAAUCCCUCAGCUUAACUGGGGAACUGCGUGUGAAACUGGCGAGCUUGAGGGUAGGAGAGGAAUGCGGAAUUCCAGGUGUAGCGGUGAAAUGCGUAGAUAUCUGGAGGAACACCGGUGGCGAAGGCGGCAUUCUGGACUAUUUCUGACACUGAUGAACGAAAGCCAGGGGAGCAAACGGGAUUAGAUACCCCGGUAGUCCUGGCCCUAAACGAUGAAUGCUUGGUGUGGCGGGUAUCGAUCCCUGCCGUGCCGCAGUUAACGCGUUAAGCAUUCCGCCUGGGGAGUACGGUCGCAAGGCUG
rnacentral:rRNA from 1 species